UGGGGAAUAUUGGACAAUGGGCGCAAGCCUGAUCCAGCCAUGCCGCGUGGAUGAUGAAGGCCUUAGGGUUGUAAAGUCCUUUUAACGGAGAAGAUAAUGACGGUACCCGUAGAAUAAGUCCCGGCUAACUUCGUGCCAGCAGCCGCGGUAAUACGAAGGGGGCUAGCGUUGCUCGGAAUCACUGGGCGUAAAGCGCACGUAGGCGGAUCUUUAAGUCGGUGGUGAAAUCCUGGAGCUCAACUCCAGAACUGCCUUCGAUACUGAGGGUCUCGAGUCCGGGAGAGGUGAGUGGAACUGCGAGUGUAGAGGUGAAAUUCGUAGAUAUUCGCAAGAACACCAGUGGCGAAGGCGGCUCACUGGCCCGGUACUGACGCUGAGGUGCGAAAGCGUGGGGAGCAAA
rnacentral:rRNA from 1 species